rnacentral:lncRNA from 1 species
ACUAAAACUCUACACAUAAUCAUCAGACCAAAACAAAAUUCGACCUUGAUCUGUAACUUGGCAUGAUAAAACAAUAGACCAAAUAUCAAAUCAAUAUCUUAUAGUGUGAAGUAAAAAAAGUGCGGAAAACUGUAUUGCCUUACUGACUGACAGACAGAGGGAGUGCAUACCUAAAGUCCCGUUUGACUUUGUUGACCUUUGACUUUGUCUGUAGGAGACCAAUAACAUAAUAAUCAAUAAACUUGAUAAACAAAUUGUGUAAAAUUAUCUUUAAAGGGCAAUAACUCCUUAAGGGGUCAAUUGACAAUUUUGGUCAUGUAAAAGUAUUUUUAGAUCUUACUUUGGUGAACAUUUUUGCAGUUUACAGUUUCUUCAUUUAUAAUAUUAAGACAAUAAACAGAACUUGCAAAAUUUCCUAAAAAUUAUCAAUUUAGUGGCAGCAACCCAACAAUAGGUUAUUAGAUGCAUCUGAAAAUUUCAGGGAUAAUACAAUUUGUCCUUAUAAAAAUUUGUACCCCCAUGUCAGAUUUGCUCUAAAUGCUUUUGUUUUUGAGAUAUAAGCAAACAACUGCAUUUUACCCCUACAUUUAAUUUAAAGCCAUGAUUAAACAGAAAAAAAACCCCGAACUUUAUUCUAGAUACUCUAAGGAUCAUUAAGAUUAAGUUUAGUUGGAAUUGGGAGAAUGUUUGAAAUAAAGUAAACACCAGACAGACAAAGCCAUACGCCAAGUGAUGGUGAAAGCUACCAUUUCCUUUGGACAUUGUCCCCCAAACACAAUUACAAUGUGUCGAGUUAAUAUCAUAACUGGCUAGAUUAUCUUUGUUGAUGAACGUUUUUGAAGACUCAACCACCAGGCUUAGUCAA